rnacentral:rRNA from 1 species
CCUACGGGUGGCACCAGUGGGGAAUAUUGGACAAUGGGCGAAAGCCUGAUCCAGCAAUGCCGCGUGUGUGAAGAAGGCCUUAGGGUUGUAAAGCUCUUUCACCGGUGAAGAUAAUGACGGUAACCGGAGAAGAAGCCCCGGCUAACUUCGUGCCAGCAGCCGCGGUAAUACGAAGGGGGCCAGCGUUGUUCGGAAUUACUGGGCGUAAAGCGCGCGUAGGCGGAUAGAUAAGUCAGAGGUGAAAUCCCGGGGCUCAACCCCGGAAUUGCCUUUGAUACUGUUUAUCUUGAGUGCAGAAGAAGUAAGUGGAAUUCCGAGUGUAGAGGUGAAAUUCGUAGAUAUUCGGAGGAACACCAGUGGCGAAGGCGGCUUACUGGUCUGCAACUGACGCUGAGGCGCGAAAGCGUGGGGAGCAAACAGGAUUAGAUACCCUCGUAGUC